CAGCGCCCGUCGGCAUGUAUUAGCUCUAGAAUUACCACAGUUAUCCAAGUAGGAGAGGAGCGAGCGACCAAAGGAACCAUAACUGAUUUAAUGAGCCAUUCGCAGUUUCACUGUACCGGCCGUGCGUACUUAGACAUGCAUGGCUUAAUCUUUGAGACAAGCAUAUGCUACUGGCAGGAUCAACCAGGUAGGAGACGGUGGGACAGCGGGCCGGGUGGACCCCAGCGCAAGGCGUGCAUGCUUGCAGGGCGGUGACAGCGGGGUGGGGGCGGAGGCGCACCCCAGGGACCCAGCGGCCCACCACACCCGCAGCGAGGACCGACGACGGGCCGCCCGACAACUCGACCGAGGGCACAAGCGGCGCGGGGCCGCACCGCGGCGUCGCGGAGGGACGAGGGGGGAAGCCCCAAGCUCCCCCACCACCACCACACCCCAGACACGGACCUCCCCCUCGACGGCCCGGGGCACCGAGCAGUCACGUCGGGACCGGCCGACACGCGCGCGCCCUCGCUCGAGCGGACAGGAGAGGGGUGGCAACGAGGGCCAAGGCCCAAGGCCCCUCCCCCCCACCCACCCAGGAGCGGCACGGCUAUGACGGCCGGCCCGCAGCGGCUAGCCGGGUCCCGACUCGCGCUCAGGUGAGCUCAGCAGAGCCGGGAGGGAGGGGCACGCGGCAGGGGGUGGGGGGUGGCAGAAGGCCACCCCUCGACCACACGCAACGACACCGGCGGACAGGCGGGGCAAGGAAGCGGCGGCGGGCACGGAGCGGGGCCGCAGCGGGCCCAGGAAAGCGAGACGCACCAGGACGCCGGUCCGGGGGUCGGCAGAUGGGGACCAGACAGACGGGAGGUCAGACAGACGAGCGGGAGCGAGGAGGGCGAACGUGGGAGCGGCCGGCAUCGAGAGAGAUGCCACAAAGGGACGGUGGCGGAGGGGGCGGCCGCAGGCCUCCAACGAGGUGGGGGCCCCACGACCGCCACCGACGACACCGACGAGCCACAGCCGGCCCCGUGGAAACAAGUCUCCCAAGGCACCUACCGACGACCACCCCCCACACCCCACACGCACCCGCCAUGCCCAACCCUCUUCCCCCACCCCCCCGCGCACAGGGGGACACCCGAGAAGCACAUCACCCAGGGACA
rnacentral:lncRNA from 9 species